rnacentral:rRNA from 1 species
AACGAACGCUGGCGGCAGGCCUAACACAUGCAAGUCGAACGCUCCGCAAGGGGAGUGGCGCACGGGUGAGUAACACGUGGGAACCUACCUUCUGGUACGGAACAACCAAGGGAAACUCUGGCUGAUACCGUAUACGACCUCCGGGUGAAAGAUUGAUCGCCGGAAGAGGGGCCCGCGUCCGAUUAGGUAGUUGGUGAGGUAACGGCUCACCAAGCCUGCGAUCGGUAGCUGGUCUGAGAGGANGACCAGCCACACUGGGACUGAGACACGGCCCAGACUCCUACGGGAGGCAGCAGUGGGGAAUAUUGGACAAUGGGCGCAAGCCUGAUCCAGCCAUGCCGCGUGAGUGAUGAA